rnacentral:rRNA from 1 species
CCUACGGGUGGCUGCAGUGAGGAAUAUUGGUCAAUGGACGAGAGUCUGAACCAGCCAAGUAGCGUGAAGGAUGACUGCCCUAUGGGUUGUAAACUUCUUUUAUAUGGGAAUAAACUGUUCCACGUGUGGGAUUUUGUAUGUACCAUAUGAAUAAGGAUCGGCUAACUCCGUGCCAGCAGCCGCGGUAAUACGGAGGAUCCGCGCGUUAUCCGGAUUUAUUGGGUUUAAAGGGAGCGUAGGUGGAUUGGUAAGUCAGUUGUGAAAGUUUGCGGCUCAACCGUAAAAGUGCAGUUGAAACUGGCAGUCUUGAGUACAGUAGAGGUGGGCGGAAUUCGUGGUGUAGCGGUGAAAUGCUUAGAUAUCACGAAGAACUCCGAUUGCGAAGGCAGUUCACUGGACUGCAACUGACACUGAGGCUCGAAAGUGUGGGUAUCAAACAGGAUUAGAUACCCGUGUAGUC